UGUUUCACCGUCGACACGUAGCUCAUCAAGUUCGUGGCUGGCAUGCCAUUGUGUAUAAGUGCAAAGUGUACUAAGAAUGUAAUGGACAUUUCCACAAUUAUGUUGAACAUAAAAAGCCUCCGUGCCAUAGUUUAGAGAAAUGAGAAAGGCACAAUUGCACCGCUAGGUGGAUUAAAACAGGUUUUUAUUACAACUAUUGACGGACGUUUCAUUGCAGGAUAUAUAUGAAGCUGAAAACAACCACAACAAUGGGGUAACUAACAUAAACCUCGCCGGUGACAAAGUGAUAGUCGCACGGUUGAGUGAACGAAUCGAUUUUUUGAGACUGGAAACGUACACGUAAGGUUUUCAGAUCGAUUGGGGAUUUACGUCUGCAUAUGGGCGAAGUAAGUUCUAUGUUUCAAGCAAUUUUUUAAGCUCACCUAGGGCGCAGACAGAUUUUACUUGUUCUUUUAAAAUACUGUAUAUUCUAAGUCAUUUAAUUUUCAGUCUGUAAUGAGUAUGUCAUCAAGUGCCUUAAUUCUUUUUCUUUUUAGCCCGCGUACGCAGCGGUUCGGCAGGAAGCAUUAGUUUAUUUCAGCAACUCGCCGGCUCAAAUCCGUCCACAGCGUUGCCAGCUCAACAUCACGCAUCCGAGGAGGAGCUUCGAUGUAUCCUGGAGUUUCACCAGCAGGGUCACCGGUGACAUGUUUGGAAGUGGCGGGCGGUACAGUCAUUACUGGCAGCCAGGGCCACACUGUUAACGUGUUCCGGCUUGAUAGCCACCUAUUGCAGUUCACCCUAAACGGCCAUUGCGGUCCUAUCACAUGUAUUUUCAUAGACCAGUGGCAGGCCGAGAUGGGCGCAUCUGGUUGCCAGGAUGGUGUGCUAUGUGUGUGGGACUUGAUACGGGGUGCCUGUAUGUACAAAAUUGAAGCCCAUGACGACAUGACGUCGCACUUGCCUGUUCCCCGAGUUACGCAAUAUCGCUUGGACUGAACGAACGAAUACGGUUUUGGGAUAGAUUUCAGGGUUAGCCGCUCAACACCAUGACCGUCAGUCAUGCAUAUUCAUCGCUUGUGAUGCUGACGCUUCUGAACGAAGCCAUUGCUAGCACGAGUUUUUGAUUUGGAAGGAUAGUUGCUGAGGACCAUUCUCACAAUAAGUUUAUAAUAUCCAUUACAUGAUCAAAUGCGCUGAUGGGUUAGGCUUUGGAUUCGGCUAUAUUCCAUCGUCAUUGAAGCUAGAUCAUAGAAUCAUGUUAAUUUGACAGACUGCAAGUGUUAUUAGUAGCACAAACAGCUAGCAGCCCAGCUAGUAUUGUUCUUUCUGCUUGCAACCAACCUGGUUAUAUUGAUGUCAAUGCUAAAUUCGCUGUUGCAGCUGUAUGGUCGCUAUACUGUUCCAUGUGUUAUGGGAUUCGCUAUUAACAUGGGACAGUUAUGCUUAGAGCACCAGAUUCUAAAAGCGACCAAUUUUGACCAAUCACUGGAGACAAAAUCACGCGUAACAAUUAAUAAUAAAUUAAAUUGUUGCUGAGUAAUUUUUGUUGUACAUGAAUAAAACACCGAUUGCCUCGUUACCUAUGCUGCCGUGAUCCGCAUAA